rnacentral:rRNA from 1 species
GACGAACGCUGGCGGCGUGCCUAAUACAUGCAAGUCGAACGCAGUGGGGACGGGUGAGUAACACGUGGGUAACCUCCCAUCAGAGGGGAUAACACUUGGAAAAAGGUGCUAAAACGAUACUGCAGGAUGGACCCGCGGGGCAUUAGCUAGUUGGUGAGGUAACGGCUCACCCAGGCAACGAUAGAUAGCCAACCUGAGAGGGUGAGCGGCCACACGGGGACUGAGACACAGCCCAGACUCCUACGGGAGGCAGCAGUAGGGAAUCUUCGGCAAUGGAGGAAAGUCUAACCGAGCAACUACGAGUGAGUGAAGAAGGUUUGCGGAUCGUAAAACUCUGUUGUUAGAGAAGCGGUAUCUAACCAGAAAGCCACGGCUAACUACGUGCCAGCAGCCGCGGUAAUAC